GGGGAAAGUAACAGUACUUGUGAUCCCAAUUUUACUAUCAACCAGCUUGUUUCAAAAUAAAUGUCCAAUUUGUCUCCAGCAAUUCUGGGUAGCACAAUUAUUUUCACUCGUCCUGUAAAGUCUGCCAACAUUACUAAAAAUUUUGCUAGCAAAAUGUUGGGCAUGAUAAUACCCCUUUACAAGAUUUCAUUGAUUGGAACAUCAUUUGGAAUGGCUCACGUGCUCUGGUCCAACUUUUGGAACAUUUUGUUGGUAUUGGCCCUUUUUAGGGAAGUGAUAAUACCACUCCACACAAUUUCAUCUCUAAACUCAAAUUAGUUAAAAGUAUAAAGACAAACAUUUCACAACUGGAGAAGUGUCUUUUAGUACCAGGUCUAAUCCCCUCUAGUACUGGUUUCGAAACCGGUACCACUAUGUGGGUAUUAAAGGGGGCCUCACCAACCGGUACUAAACUGUUUUCCACCCAAAAAAAUAAAGAAAAAAUUUGUUGAAUAGCUGGGAGGCAUGUGCCACGUCGCAAGUCAUAAGUCACGUGAUUUUCAUGCAUGCGUACUGCAUGGGAUUCAAACCCACGACCUCAAGCCUCGUGCAACCCUUCCUUACCAACUCAC
rnacentral:lncRNA from 1 species